AAGUCGAGGGAAUCCCAGCAAUGGGGGAACCGGCGUAAGGGGCAGUAAGGCAUGGGUACCUACCCUGAAGUUCGGGAUAGCCAUCAGAGAUGGUGGGUAAUACCGGGUGAUGUCGAGAGACCAAAGAUUUAUCGCUUUGGGAGGGGCCCAUGUGAUAUUAGCUAGUUGGUGAGGUAACGGCUCACCAAGGCAAAGAUGUCUAGCGGGUAUGAGAGUACGACCCGCGCCACUCGCACUGAGACACUGGCGAGACACCUACGGGUGGCUGCAGUCGAGGAUCUUCGUCAAUGGGCGAAAGCCUGAACGAGCGAUGCCGCGUGCGCGAUGAAGGCCUUCGGGUUGUAAAGCGCUUUAGUGGGGGAGAAAAGGGUAAAACUUUGAUCUAUCCCAAAAAUAAGCUCGGGCUAAGUUCGUGCCAGCAGCCGCGGUAAGACGAACCGAGCGAACGUUGUUCGGAAUCACUGGGCUUAAAGGGCGCGUAGGCGGGCUGUCAAGUCUGGGGUGAAAUCCCACGGCUCAACCGUGGAACUGCCUUAGAUACUGACGGCCUCGAGGGAGAUAGGGGCGAGCGGAACUGUGAGUGGAGCGGUGAAAUGCGUUGAUAUUCACAGGAACUCCGGUGGCGAAGGCGGCUCGCUGGAUCUUUUCUGACGCUGAGGCGCGAAAGCUAGGGGAGCAAACGGGAUUAGAUACCCCGGUA
rnacentral:rRNA from 1 species